GAUGGUCUACCAGACCAGAUUUUCCAGCAGAGCAAAUCCAGUCUCCUAAACCUCAUAUGUUUCACCUUUAUGAAAAUGACCCUGUGCUCUGUGCUCUUACUAUACUGUAUGUCAACAAUGAUCUCACUUGUGUCGGAAUUCCAGGAGAAACUUGACAAUCUGAUGCAUAAACUUAACGGAGAACAUGAUUAAAUCUCCCACAUGAGCAAUGAAAGAGUAACCUGUGAGCAAAUGAAAGAAGUGAAUGACUCUGAAGCUCUGAAUGUCUGUCUGGCUGUCUCUGAAUGUGAGUUUUUGUGUGUGUGUGUCUCUCUCUGUUUUUCUCUCUUAAGCGCAGGAGGAAUGUGUAAACAGGCAGAGGCAGAGGCAGCUACAUGACACACUCACAGGACGUUGCACAACUCGAAAUGCCUCUAAAUGUGUCAUUUCCUGCCUGGCCACCUGGCUUCCGCUGAGAAACAGCAGUAUGUACGUGAGAAAUAUACAUUGGGAUAGAUUGUGUGGGAUCGAAGGAGAGCAGAUUGACCUGAAACAUCAUUUGCUUAAAGAUAAAAGCUAUUAAAUUACAUAAAAGACCUCAGCAAACCUCAGAUGAAGCUACUGUGAUCUUUUUCUCUGUUAAGUGAAGGUUCUUUAUUGGCGUUAAUGGUUCCAUGAAGAAUCUUUAGCAUCCAUAGAAUCUUUCCAUUGCACAAAAAUUUCUUUAGAUUAUUAAAAAUAGGAUAUUUUAUGAAAUGUUUACCAAAAUUCUUUUGGAAUCCCCCUUUUGGAAACUAUAUCAAAAUGUAUCUUGUUCAUCUGAAUUUUUCCUGGUCUCAUUUGUGAUUCAUUGUUGCAUGUUAUUCCAAAGGAAAAUAGUUUGUAAUCUUGCUCUGUCUCUGAAAUGAUUUUCCUUUUCAGAUGAUGUCACUCUCAUUUCUCUCAUACAGGCUGGCCUUUUUUUAAGACCCCAUAGACUUCCAUUAUAUGGGAAAAAAACAACUAUAUCUUCUUUUGUGUUCCACAGCAGAAAGAAAGUCAUGCACAACACAAAGGAAAUAAUUGAUAAAAACGGAAGAUGAAUGAGCCGUGUGAGAUGAAAGGCCCUCACAUCAGAGAUGCCCGAGGGUGUUAUUAAUCCGUAAUGAAUGAAGAUCACAAGUGCAUCCAAAACGCUGCUGCCAGAUGUGUUAAUUGAGACGAGGAGGAAAAGAAGGAAGAAAUCAAGAAGCGAUAUUGUUGGUUUUGCCGCCAGAAGCUUAUCUCUGAAUACAACAGCUGUGUGCCAGGCAGGUUGGCAUGAGCUUCAUACAAACACACCAGAGCCGGAUCUACAGCAGCGCUCAUCAGACUCGGUGUCUCUGCGUAUGACCGCGUGAGAGGAAUCCAUCCAUAAGCCCCCAAAAGCACAUUCACAGACCCACCCGAGCCCAUCCCAGCGAGCUGAUACCAAACACACACGGCUGCGUGGUCCUGCCCAGCUUUAACCAACCCUGGCAUCUGCCAGCCAUCCAACGGUUGGUGUCCAGCAACUAAAAAUAUCCUAAAUGCUGGCUCAUUCAGAAGGGGUUUUCUUUUCAAAAUGAUUUCCUAAACCGGAAAAAGACAGACUACAUCUGAAAUGCAUAAAGUCCUGAUCAACAAAAAACAUCCCGCCCUGUCCUAACCGAACCAGCUUAUCCAAAUCCAUUCAUAAAUAAGGGCGCAAUACUUCUGAAAACACAACAGUGUUUCUUCGUAAAUCAAGAAAAUGCAGUUGCUUUCAGAAACUUGAGGCGGGUUAUUUUUUCUGCUGUUAUUUGUUUGAUUGUGGUCGAUUUUAUUCUAAUCUUCCACAUCGCGCCUCGUAUCGUUUUCCAUAUCUAAUUUCUUUAUGCCGUGCUAUCUCCUCCCUGACUUCCUCUUCCAGAUAGAAGAAACUUAAGCCUGUGAAGGUGUGGGUCUCCAUGCGGGCCAAGGCCCUGUUGACUGUGACAGCUGUGAGGAGAUAACACGGAUGUGCACACAUGCACACUGAUAGUGUUGAGGGUGUGUGAGGACAUGCAUUGGUGCAGGAAUGCACUGAGACCAGCCGACUGGUCAAGAAACCACCGCAUGCACGGCCAAUGUCCACUCGGACUGAUCACAGAUACAUUAUCAAAUGAAACCACAGACCUAAAGAGUUGUAAUCGACUGAUUUAUAAGGUGGAUUAUUGACAAAUUCAUGUCCACAAGGACGACUUAACAGUUUUUUUUCCCUCAUAUUUAUUCCAAAAUCUAUCAGCAGCCUUGUCAGUGGAUAGUAAAAAAUCUCUUUUUAUCAAAUAUUUUUCAUGCAUUUAGUUUACGAUCUGUACAUGUUGUUUAAAGCAGUGGUUAA